rnacentral:rRNA from 1 species
UGCCCAAUGAAAAUUUAAUGGCUGCAGUAUUAUGACUGUACAAAGGUAGCAUAAUCAAUAGUUUCUUAAUUAGAAGCUGGAAUGAAUGGAUAAACGAAAAAUUGAUUGUCUCUAUUUAAAAUAUAAAAUUUUAUUUUUAAGUAAAAAAGCUUAAAUAAUAUUAAAAGACGAGAAGACCCUAUAGAAUUUUAUAUAAGAACUUUAUUUUAAAAAUUUUGAAGGAAUUAUAUUUUAUUGGGGUGAUAUAAAAAUUUGAUUAACUUUUUUUAGAUUAAAACAAUUAUUUUUGAAUUUUUGAUCCAUGGUAAUGAUUAUAAGAAUAAAUUACCUUAGGGAUAACAGCGUAAUAUUUUUUUAGAGUUCAUAUUAAAAAAAAUGAUUGCGACCU